rnacentral:lncRNA from 1 species
CUGCUGGAGUGCAGGAGGGAAGGCAGCCUAUGAAGUAGCUAACUGAAGUUAUUCGGAAGCCAGGAGCUUAAUUUCAUGCAUAGGACUUAAUAAAUAAGAAGAUGUAGUCAUGAUUUACUGUAAAACCAAAGAACCACUGAAUCAUGAGCCAGCAGGUGGGUACUCCUGUUCAGAGGCACUCUGUGUUUUUUUGCCAAACCAUUUAGCACAUCUGUAGCCUUCACUAAAUCAUUUUUAAAAGUAAUAUCAGUAAUAAGAGGCAGAGAGCCUUGAAAGCUAUGUGUGGCAUGUGUUCUGCAAACAGGCUCUCAACAAAAAUCCCUAGAGCUAGGAACAACAGUAAAAAUCAUCUCAAAGGAGC